CGGAGACGGAGAGGAGGUGGCUGACGAGGAGGUGGCCGACGAGGAGGUGGUGGUGGUGGUAGUGCAGGCGGCAGAAGUUGAGACCGGAGGUUGAGGGGGGACCAGCUGGGUCGGAGGGAUCAAAGCAGCCGAACAUUUCUCUGGAGGAGCUUGUUCAACUUGAGUUCCAGUGGCGGGAUCUAGUGUUGCAUAAAACUUGUAAUUUAAAACUGUGAAUACACUGCAUCUUUCUUUUUCCAGUUGUAGGAAACCAACCCUGUCCAUGUUUUCUUUGCCUCAACUAUCCGUUUGCAUCUCACCUUCCCCGGCACCUGGAGAAGAUCAGAACAGAUCCUGGAGAAGAUCAGGACAGAUCCUGGAGAAGAUCAGGACAGAGCCAGACACAUGUCAUAUUACCACUUGGGAGAUCUGAGAGAACUCUGAAUUAGGAAACCUAACCAGUUAAUUUGUUCUCCACCUUCACUACAAUGUGAUGCACACCAGCUCUUCUGCUUUUCUUCUUGCUGUGUGCCCUCAUGGAUAUAUAAUCCUCAUGGUUCAAAAUCAUAUAAAAAAAAAAUGUAGUUUGAAAGGGUUUACUACCACAGGUUUGGGUUAACCUUGAUCAUUUCAAUGCAACAAUAGGAUUAGAAACCUAGAAA